rnacentral:rRNA from 2 species
UGGGGAAUAUUGCACAAUGGAGGGAACUCUGAUGCAGCGACGCCGCGUGAACGAAGAAGGCUUUCGAGUCGUAAAGUUCUUUUAUAUGGGAAGAUAAUGACGGUACCAUAAGAAAAAGCCCCGGCUAACUACGUGCCAGCAGCCGCGGUAAUACGUAGGGGGCUAGCGUUGUCCGGAAUCACUGGGCGUAAAGGGUUCGCAGGCGGAAAUGCAAGUCAGGUGUAAAAGGCAGUAGCUUAACUACUGUAAGCAUUUGAAACUGCAUAUCUUGAGAAGAGUAGAGGUAAGUGGAAUUUUUAGUGUAGCGGUGAAAUGCGUAGAUAUUAAAAAGAAUACCGGUGGCGAAGGCGACAUACUGGGCUCAUUCUGACGCUGAGGAACGAAAGCGUGGGUAGCAAACAGG